UCACCCCUCAAACCUCACGUUUGAUGUUGGACCGCGUUGGCUCCUCCGGGACCAACUGGUCUUAAAGACAAUGACGGCGUCCGUGGGACCCUCGGUGCAACGAGCUUUUCGAAGCACGCGUCGAGUUGAAAGGACCCUCCGGGCCGGUCUGACCUCCUUUAUUUUUCA
rnacentral:misc_RNA from 1 species